UACGUAGGCAGCAAGCGUUGUUCGGAAUUACUGGGCGUAAAGGGUGCGUAGGCGGCGCGGUAAGUCGGGUGUGAAAUUUCGGAGCUUAACUCCGAAACUGCAUUCGAUACUGCGGUGCUUGAGGACUGGAGAGGAGACUGGAAUUCAUGGUGUAGCAGUGAAAUGCGUAGAGAUCGUAAGGAAGACCAGGUGGCGAAGGCGAGUUCUGGACAGUUACUGACGCUGAGGCACGAAGGCCAGGGGAGCAAACGGG
rnacentral:rRNA from 1 species